AUGUCGGGCCCACAUGCAGAAAACACACUCGGAAACACAGGUCAGAAUUCAAGGAUUUAUUAACAACUCGGGAGCACACGGAGCGCAGCGCUAGUCUGCGGGGCGGGGGACGAUGGCGGCUCGAACUUAUCCCGGGACCAAGGGACCAGACCAGUCUAGGAGGUAAGGGAUAUGUGAUUAACAGAAGGCGUUCGGGUCGACGGAGAGCGGGGCGAGGGGGUCCGAGCAGCAACGAGGGCGUCCAGGGAUCCAGAGCAGCGAGAGGAACCGGAGAGAGAGUUGGUGUGACUCGCGUCCAGAGCUGAG